GUACCAAGAACUGUGCCCCCACCAAUGGAAAAAAAAUGUGAACUUUCUUUCCAUAUUCCUGAUUGAAGUGCAAAGGGCUUUACUGAAGGGAUUCCAAGGGAUAAAUCAUGGUCUUAAACUUUAGCUAAGGUUUGUCUUCAUGAACUUGACCAAAUUCUACAUAUGGCAGUAUUUCUGAUUCCUGACUUUGGAAAGGAGGACACUACAAUGAGAUCCAGAUGAGACAUCAUGCUACCCGCAAUGAGGUUUUUACUGCAGGCAAGGAACUCCAGAAAUAUAAAUUUGGGUGCUUAUAAAAGAAAGGGGCAGGGAGAGCUAUCCCUUCUCCCUUAUUGCAUCCAAUUUGAAAAGUUCAAAGACAUAAUAAAAUACAAUUACUAAAUGGAGGACACUAAAACCAGUACUUUUUGAUUAAUUCUAGGUAUAACAAAGCAUUAUCGAUUCUUUUUUCUUUUUUUUAUCUUCCUUCCUUCCUUCCUUCCUUCCUCCCUUCCUCUUUACCU